UUUUUUUUUCAUUUAAGAUGUGUUAAAAAUUAAUUUUCUAUCUUUUCAUUGUAAACAGUAGACUAACCUCAGGGAAGCCAAGUGAGAACUGCUAUUUGAACUUUUUUUAACUUAAAACCUAUGAGCAUCCAUCUAGUAUUUUUGGAAGGAAGAUUUUAGGAAGACAGCCCCCUGCCCCCAAUUAUUUGCCUUGUUUUAAAACUUUUUUUUUUUUUUUGUACCUGAGAUUGAAGAUAGGGGUGCAUAAUCACUGAACCAUAUCCCCAGCCCUUUUUUAUUUUUAUUUUGAGGCAGGGUCUCACUAAUUGCUUAGGGCCAAGGCCUCCCAGGUAGCUGGGAUUACAGCCAUGUAAUUAUUAAGUAUUAAAUUUUUAAGUAUAAAGGUUUACUUUGGCCAGCUUAGAGGAGGUUAUAACCUUUGAAGGAAAUGUUGAUGCCCUGGCUUAAAACUAAUUUUAAUGUUAAGAAUCUAGUAAGGGGGCUGGGGAUGUGGCUCAAGCGGUAGCACACUUGCCUGGCAUGCAUGCGGCCCGGGUUCGAUCCUCAGCACCACAUACAAACAAAGAUGUUGUGUCCGCCGAAAACUAAAAAUAAAUAUUAAAAUUCUCUCUCUCUCUCUCUCUCUUAAAAAAAA
rnacentral:lncRNA from 1 species